rnacentral:piRNA from 2 species
UGCAAACAUGGCUUCUCUCUUGGGC